AUGAACGCUAGCGGCAGGCUUAACACAUGCAAGUCGAGGGGCAGCGAGAUUGAAGCUUGCUUCAAUUGUCGGCGACCGGCGGACGGGUGCGUAACGCGUAUGCAACCUACCCAUAACAGGGGGAUAACACUGAGAAAUUGGUACUAAUACCCCAUAACAUCUCGAGUGGCAUCACUUGGGGUUGAAAGCUUCGGUGGUUAUGGAUGGGCAUGCGUUGUAUUAGCUAGUUGGUGAGGUAACGGCUCACCAAGGCGACGAUACAUAGGGGGACUGAGAGGUUAACCCCCCACAUUGGUACUGAGACACGGACCAAACUCCUACGGGAGGCAGCAGUGAGGAAUAUUGGUCAAUGGACGGAAGUCUGAACCAGCCAUGCCGCGUGCAGGAUGACGGCUCUAUGAGUUGUAAACUGCUUUUGUACGAGGGUAAACCCGAAUACGUGUAUUCGGCUGAAAGUAUCGUACGAAUAAGGAUCGGCUAACUCCGUGCCAGCAGCCGCGGUAAUACGGAGGAUCCAAGCGUUAUCCGGAUUUAUUGGGUUUAAAGGGUGCGUAGGCGGUUAGAUAAGUUAGAGGUGAAAUUCCGGUGCUUAACACCGGCGCUGCCUCUAAUACUGUUUGACUAGAGAGUAGUUGCGGUAGGCGGAAUGUAUGGUGUAGCGGUGAAAUGCUUAGAGAUCAUACAGAACACCGAUUGCGAAGGCAGCUUACCAAGCUAUAUCUGACGUUGAGGCACGAAAGCGUGGGGAGCAAACAGGAUUAGAUACCCUGGUAGUCCACGCCGUAAACGAUGUCGACUUGGAGGUUGUGCCCUUGAGGCGUGGCUUCCGGAGCUAACGCGUUAAGUCGACCGCCUGGGGAGUACGGCCGCAAGGUUAAAACUCAAAUGAAUUGACGGGGGCCCGCACAAGCGGUGGAGCAUGUGGUUUAAUUCGAAGCAACGCGAAGAACCUUACCAGGUCUUGACAUCCCUCUGAAUACUGUAGAGAUAUGGUAGGCCUUCGGGACAGAGGAGACAGGUGGUGCAUGGUUGUCGUCAGCUCGUGUCGUGAGAUGUUGGGUUAAGUCCCGCAACGAGCGCAACCCUUAUCUUUAGUAGCCAGCGGUACGGCCGGGGACUCUAGAGAGACUGCCAGGGAUAACCUGGAGGAAGGUGGGGAUGACGUCAAAUCAGCACGGCCCUUACGUCCGGGGCUACACACGUGUUACAAUGGUAGGUACAGAGGGCAGCUACCCUGCGAAGGGAUGCGAAUCUCGAAAGCCUAUCUCAGUUCGGAUUGGAGGCUGAAACCCGCCUCCAUGAAGUUGGAUUCGCUAGUAAUCGCGCAUCAGCCAUGGCGCGGUGAAUACGUUCCCGGGCCUUGUACACACCGCCCGUCAAGCCAUGGGAGCUGGGGGUGCCUGAAGUUCGUGACCGCAAGGAGCGACCUAGGGCAAAACCGGUAACUGGGGCU
rnacentral:rRNA from 1 species